rnacentral:tRNA from 1 species
UAGGAGAUAGUAUAAUAGGUAGUACAUGAAGUUUUGGACUUUGUAGUGCAGGUUCGUGUCCUGUUUUUCUAG